rnacentral:tRNA from 1 species
ACCUGGCUGGCUCAGUCAGAGGAGCAUGUGACUCUUGAUCUCGGGAUUGUGGGUUCAAGCCCCAUGUUGGGGG